GAUGAACGCUGGCGGCGUGCCUAAUACAUGCAAGUCGAGCGAACAGACGAGGAGCUUGCUCCUCUGACGUUAGCGGCGGACGGGUGAGUAACACGUGGAUAACCUACCUAUAAGACUGGGAUAACUUCGGGAAACCGGAGCUAAUACCGGAUAAUAUAUUGAACCGCAUGGUUCAAUAGUGAAAGACGGUUUUGCUGUCACUUAUAGAUGGAUCCGCGCCGCAUUAGCUAGUUGGUAAGGUAACGGCUUACCAAGGCAACGAUGCGUAGCCGACCUGAGAGGGUGAUCGGCCACACUGGAGCUGAGACACGGUCCAGACUCCUACGGGAGGCAGCAGUAGGGAAUCUUCCGCAAUGGGCGAAAGCUUGACGGAGCAACGCCGCGUGAGUGAUGAAGGUCUUCGGAGCGUAAAACUCUGUUAUUAGGGAAGAACAAAUGUGUAAGUAACUAUGCACGUCUUGACGGUACCUAAUCAGAAAGCCACGGCUAACUACGUG
rnacentral:rRNA from 1 species